ensembl:lncRNA
GUGGUAUCUGGAGGGCCAGCUGCAGGGCUCUGUGGUGGGGGGCAGGGCUCCUUGGAGAGCUGGCUGCAACAGACUAUUCGCCUCUUGCCUGAGGAGCGGCCUGGGCUAGGGACUGCAGGGGAAGGGAGGCCACAGAUCAAAGGGAUCCAACAUCCACCCAGUCAGACUGGAGGGCAAGCCCUGGGCAAGUUCUCCCGGGGAGGGUAGUGGGAAUGGAAGGGUGGAAGGGAUGCCCCUCAGAUAACCUUGACCAGCCGUGAGUAUCACUGUAGCUGCCAUUAGGGGCCAUUCUAUGUACCCUUUGCGGGCCUCAUAACCACCUCAAUUUUACCGAUGUGGAAAGUGAGUCUGAGAAGUCUUGCUAUUAUCUGCCCGUGAUUGCAUGCAGCCAUGAGCUACAGAACUCAGACUCAAACUCACAAGGGAUGGCAUACCAAAUGAUAAAACAAUGCAAGCUAAGUUUGCCUUUACCCUCUCCCUGCCAGUAACUACUUUUUGUCUGUGUGAGUAACUGGCCUGUGUGUAAAGGGACUCAACCCUUACAUGGUCCCCAGUUAAUUCUUUUUCUCAUUUGGGCUCCUGACCACCUUGCCAUGCUGCUUCUAAGAGGGGUUAUCUAUACUCAGAGGGCCUAGGGCAAACCAAGGAAGGGAAAGAAGUUUUGGAGAUUCAUCUGUUUUUUAGAGAAAGUUUUUUAGAGACAGCCCAGGCUGAAGUGCAGUGGUGCAAUCAUAGCUCACUGCAACCUCGAACUCUUGGUCUCGAUGAUCCUCCCCUCUCAGCCUCCUGAGUAGCUGAGACCACAGGUACACAUCACCAUGCCUGGCUUUUUUUUUUUUUUUUUUAGAGAUGAGGUAUCCUUACAUUGCCCAGGCUGGUCUCAAAUUCCUGGCCUCAAGCAAUCCUCCUGCCUUGGCCUCCCAGUGCUAGGAUUACAUGUGUUAGCCACCUCUCCUGGUCUAGGCUUUUUUUUUUUAGGAGAAUGUAAGGCAUUUGUUUAGCAUUUACUGAGCAUCUACUGCAUGCCAAGCUCUGCCCAAGAGGCCAGGAGAGCAGGAUAGGAGUGAGCCCUGCACCUGGCGUUUGGCCUGGCUGGGGAGCCCUAGCCUCAGGAAGCAGGACUGCCCUGGACCCCAAGAGGCCCCUGCUCAACCUGCGACAAGCCUGAAAGGCUCCCGAGAUGCACUGUGAUGUUCAAGGAAGAGAAAUGACUGACCCAGGAUCCUGGUGGUCUCAAAUCUCAUUGGGGGAAGAAGCAAGGGACCCCAGGGGUCAGGGGCAUUGAGGGGUGGGGCUGUCAGGGGGUACCCGGCAGAGUGACUCGCAGGCUAUGAGGAAAGAAGUCUAUUGCUCGUAUCCCCAGGAUGCCAAGACCAGCUCCUGCUGCAGCCCAGGCCUGCGGUGGCGGCUAUCCUGAAGCGGCCUUACCAGGUGCACAGCUGGCCAAGGUAGGCUUGGUCAUGCGCAGAGAGAGUAGGAGGAAGGCCCUUGCUCCACCACCCCAUCUCCCAAGGGAGGCCCAUGCCCAGAACUUACCAAGUAGCAAGACUAGAGCAACCAGCAGAAGCCCCUUGGGGGCAGCCAUCAUGAAAAAAAAAAA